rnacentral:rRNA from 1 species
UACGAAGGGGGGCUAGCGUUGCUCGGAAUCACUGGGCGUAAAGCGCACGUAGGCGGCUUUUUUAAGUCAGGGGUGAAAUCCUGGAGCUCAACUCCAGAACUGCCUUUGAUACUGAGAAGCUUGAGUCCGGGAGAGGUGAGUGGAACUGCGAGUGUAGAGGUGAAAAUUCGUAGAUAUUCGCAAGAACACCAGUGGCGAAGGCGGCUCACUGGCCCGGUACUGACGCUGAGGUGCGAAAAGCGUGGGGGAGCAAACAGG